GGACCAUUGUUCAGUGGUGGAGCAUCUGCUUUGCAUGCAGAAGGUCCUAGGUUCAAUCCCCAGCAUCUCUA